rnacentral:tRNA from 1 species
AGUAUAGUAAUUACCUUGGUCUUGUAAGCCAAAAACGGAGAAUACCUACCCUCCCCAAGACUCAAGGAAG